CAUAGCCAUAGCUUAUGGAGAAAGCCGCCAUUUCCAAUUUCUCACCAUUCUGAUUAUUUCCCUUGCUCACAUCAUUAUUAAUAUAUUAGUUCUUGCUGUUUUAAUUGUUGGGUUUGCUCGAUCUCCUGUUAUCUCUGUUCUUCUGUCAUUUGGUUUACUUGACUGUUGAAUAAAGAUUGGAAGGUUGUGCUAUUGGCACCUGCGCCAAUGCUUCUUCGGAAGCUGCGAAAGGCAUCUUCCAAGAAAUUAAACGUCAUAUCAGAUAUGUAUUCAUCUACAAGAAAAAUGUUGACAAGUUCGAGAAGAAACUUGAGGUUUUGAAAGCAAAAAGAACAAGUGUGCAGCUAGAGGUCGUUGCUGCAGACAGGAGAGGGAAGAAGAUAAAACCGGACGUCAAGCUUUGGUGCAACAAAGUGGACAAGGUAAUCAAUGAAGAUGUGAAGACAAUGAAGGAUCUUGAAGACAAAGCAAAGAACAACUUCAAGUCUCGCUACCAGCUUAGCAAGAAAGCAGAAGAAUGUGUCCCAGCUGUUGACGACCUUAUCCAACAGUACUGUCAAUUUAAAGGAGUGGGAUACCGUGAUGUUCUAGAAGGCCCGAAGUGUGUACCUCCUAAAAAUUUUAAGGCUUUUGAUUCAAGAAAGGAGGUUUUUGACGGAGUUAUAGAGGCAUUGAAAGAUUCUACUAUCAGCAUGGUAGGGGUGUAUGGGACGGAUGGUGUGGGUAAAACCACACUAGUCAAUCAAGUUGCCAGACAAGUCCAAGAGGAUAAGUUGUUUGAUUGGGUAGUUAAAGCAACCGUAACUCGGACUCCUAACAUUCACAAAAUCCAAGACGAAAUUGCAGAGUCAUUGAGGUUAAAACUAGAAGAUAAUACAGUAAGGGCGAGAGCAAGUUUGUUGUUGAAAAGGUUGAAGAAAGAGGAGAGGAUUCCCGAAGUUGCAGAGCCAUCGAUGAAAGCGGAGGGGACUCCUGAAAUUGCAGAGAAAUUGAAGAAAGAGGAAAGGAUUUUUAUUAUUUUAGAGGAUAUUUGGGCGAGACUAGAUCUAGAGGAAGUCGGAAUUCCUUUUGGAGAUCAACACGAGGGAUGCUAGAUACUGCUGACUUCAAGAAAUCGAGAUGUUCUAACCAAUGAGAUGGAUGCUAAGAAGGCUUUACCGAUCGAUGUUUUGGAAGAAAUAGAAGCUUGGAACCUGUUUAAGGAGACGGCUGAGAACGAUUUUAAAGAUUCUGAGUUACGAUCUGUAGCAACUGAGGUGGCCAAAAAGUGUGCAGGAUUACCCGUCGCCAUUGUGACAGUUGCAAGAGCAUUGAGAAGCAAAGAGUUAUAUGCCUGGAAGGAUGCUCUUGCGCAACUUCAGAGGCCUUCUCCAAGCGACAUGCAAUCAGGGGUACCAGCAGCUGUAUAUUCAGCUAUAGAGCUGAGUUACAAUAAUUUAAAAAGUGAAGAACUCAAACAGACUUUCUUGCUUUGCGGUCUACUAGGCCAUAACGCUCGUGCUGAAGACUUGGUGAGAUAUGGCAUGGGUUUACGUUUAUUUGAAAAUGUGGACACAGUAGAAGACACGCGAAACAGAGUGUUGACACUGGGACAACCAUACAUUUGCAUUGAAACAUGAGGGUGUUUUUGACGAUUGGCCAGAUGAAGAGAGGAUGAGAAAGCUCAAAAUGAUUAGUUUGAGUUUCGAUAGUGUCGAGAAGCUUCCUCAUCAGUUGGAAUGUCCACAACUUGAAUUUUUCUGUAUGGGUAGCAAGGAUUCUGAUGCGGAAAUACCAGUC